CUCUUCGACGACGAUGGAAAUGCUGAAAAAUGACAUUGGUCACCGGGGGAAUGGAGGUUGUUCACGUUUGUUGGCCGUAUGUGCGUGCGUCCUCUUAGCUCUGAUGUCGGCACUACUCAUUGUUAUCAUCGUAAGAGAAUAUUCUGCCGGAGAGGUUACAAGAGUGGAUAUCAACUUGAUGGAAACUGUUCACCAGUUACAGAAGCAGGUGGAGCAACAGCAAGCAGAACUUGAUAGGAUGAAAUCAGAUGCGCGUAUGUGCAAAAAUGGCUGUCUGACUAUUUUUGGAG
rnacentral:lncRNA from 1 species